UAUGCAAUGGUUGCAGGAAAUGGAUAAGCAAGUCCCUCUGAUGGAUGAGAUAGACACUAAGGUGGACAGGGCAACAUCUAACCUUAAGAAUACCAAUGCUAGACUCAAGGACACUGUUAAUCAGCUGAGGUCAAGUCGAAAUUUCUGCAUUGAAAUUAUUCUGUUGUGUAUAAUUCUGGGAAUUGCAGCCUAUUUAUACAAUGUACUGAAAUAGUAAAGUGAUACCAUGGGCAACGGAAUCUUCUUGGCUUGAUCUGGUAUUGAUUGGCUUGCAUUGGUUGAGGUCUUGCUGUGUUCUUGAUUUUGGAUUUGAUUUGUUUUAUCAACGUUUAUAUCUUUGAGGUCAAGCUUGCCCCCCUCUCUCUCUGCAACUGCUAACUUGUAUGUAUGGGUUUUGUUUUAAAUUUUAUUC